UACGUAGGGGGCAAGCGUUGUCCGGAAUCAUUGGGCGUAAAGAGCGUGUAGGCGGCCAGAUAAGUCCGCUGUGAAAUCUCGAGGCUCAACUUCGAGCUGUCGGUGGAAACUGUCUGGCUAGAGUCCGGAAGAGGAGAAUGGAAUUCCUGGUGUAGCGGUGAAAUGCGCAGAUAUCAGGAAGAACACCCGUGGCGAAGGCGGGUCUCUGGGCCGAUACUGACGCUGAGGAGCGAAAGCAUGGGUAGCGAACAGG
rnacentral:rRNA from 1 species